UGCAAAUAAGAAAGUUCCACUAGAAAGCUAAUUUCUAAGCAAAAGCGCAUGGCUGGUGGAGAUCUAAGAGAGUUGGAGUUCCUCACAUUCUCAUCCAGCAGUUAGUACGUGCUGUUUUUGUAUUCUUCAUAUCUAGAUUUGGUGCUGCAAUUGCUUCACGUUUACAACAAUCUGAGAAACUUACAAAAUGGGUUACGGAGCAAGCUCCUGAGCUAGAUGACGUGUAGUGGCCAUUUUCCAAGCAACGUUCUUGCAAAGAUGGAUGUCUAGAGUGGUGAUAAUAGUCGCAAGCACACUUCUGAUUGUUCUAUUUCUUAUACCACUUGUGCUUGUGCAAGUCUUGCCAAUCUGUCCCAACUGGAAGUCUGGUUCCCCUUCCUGGCAAGCAUUUUUACCGCGUAAGUGAUUAUUCCAUCUUGCGAGUUUCUGUGAACAUUGCUAGUUCAAUCUGCUUGUCAUAGAAAAAUUUUAGAAUUGUAAUUCUUUUAUUCAUUAAUCAACAUUAUAAUUGGGCUUUAAACUUAUGUUAGAUUUUAAGAUUUGGAGAGAAGAAAUCAAGGAGGAAGAAGGUUUAUUGAAGUCUGCAUGGAAGGAGGCUACCUUGAAGAUCAGCACUCAAGUUUUUGUCAGACUACAGUUUUUGCAUAUAGUUUUGUGUCGAUCAACUAGUUACAUUUUUAUUUUGUUCUUUUAGAUUGAACAAGAAUUACUUAUCUUUUAGCUUUUUUAGAAUUUAAAGACAAGGGGAUGUGAUUUUUGAUAACAUAACUUGAAAUUCUAUUGUAAAAAAUAUUUUGAGUAAUGAAAUUUUAAUUUGUUUAA